rnacentral:piRNA from 1 species
UGACUAUCUUAAGGAAUGGCACCGGGAG